rnacentral:rRNA from 1 species
GAGAGGAAGGUCCCCCACACUGGUACUGAGACACGGACCAGACUCCUACGGGAGGCAGCAGUGAGGAAUAUUGGUCAAUGGACGGAAGUCUGAACCAGCCAUGUCGCGUGCAGGAUGACUGCCCUAUGGGUUGUAAACUGCUUUUGUAUGGGAAGAAAGUGGGGUACGUGUACCCCUUUGCCGGUACCAUACGAAUAAGGAUCGGCUAACUCCGUGCCAGCAGCCGCGGUAAUACGGAGGAUCCGAGCGUUAUCCGGAUUUAUUGGGUUUAAAGGGUGCGUAGGCUGGGAAUUAAGUCAGUGGUGAAAGUUUGCGGCUCAACCGUAAAAUUGCCGUUGAUACUGGUUCUCUUGAGUACAUUUGAGGCAGGCGGAAUGUGGUGUGUAGCGGUGAAAUGCAUAGAUAUACCACAGAACACCGAUUGCGAAGGCAGCUUGCUAAGAUGUGACUGACGCUGAAGCACGAAAGCAUGGGGAUCAAACAGGAUUAGAUACCCUGGUAGUCCAUGCUGUAAACGAAGAUCACUAGCUGUUUUCGAUAUAUAGUAAGCGGCACAGGGAAACCCCUAAGUGAUCCACCCGGGGAGUACGUUGGCGACAAUGAAACUCAAAGGAAAAGACGGGGGCCCGCACAAGCGGAGGAACAUGUGGUUUAAUUCGAUGAUACGCGAGGAACCUUACCUGGGUUUAAAUGGGGAGUGACAGGCUUAGAGAUAGAUCUUUCUUCGGACACUCUUCAAGGUGCUGCAUGGUUGUCGUCAGCUCGUGCCGUGAGGUGUCGGGUUAAGUCCCAUAACGAGCGCAACCCACGUUGUCAGUUACCAGCACGUAGUGGUGGGGAGUCUGACAAGACUGCCGGUGUAAACCGCGAGGAAGGUGUGGAUGACGUCAAAUCAGCACGGCCCUCACAUCCAGGGCUACACACGUGUUACAAUGGCCGGUACAGAGGGCAGCUACACUGCGAAGUGAUGCCAAUCCCAUAAAACCGGUCUCAGUUCGGAUCGGAGUCUGCAACUCGACUCCGUGAAGCUGGAUUCGCUAGUAAUCGCGCAUCAGCCAUGGCGCGGUGAAUAAGAUCCCGGGCCUUGCACACACCGCCCGUCAAG